rnacentral:rRNA from 1 species
ACCCGCGAUUUGCAUAUUAUUAAGCGGAGGAAAAGAAACUAACCAGGAUUCCCCCAGUAAGGGCGACUGAAGCGGGAAGAGCUCAACUUGUGAAUCUGCUUGCCGAAUUGUGGUCUGUUCGUGUAUGUGGCUCGGGCCAAGUCCCUUGGAAAAGGGCAGCUGAGAGGGUGAGACUCCCGUCCUGAGGACUGAGCGAAUUUGAGUCGAGUUGUUUGGGAUUGCAGCUCAAAGMGGGUGGUAAAUUCCAUCGAAAGCUAAAUAUUGGUGGGAGACCGAUAGCGUACAAGUACCGUGAGGGAAAGAUGCAAAGAACUUUGAAAAGAGAGUUAAAGAGUACCUGAAAUUGCUGAAAGGGAAGCGAAGGAAACCAGUUGUGCKYAGUCAUACUCUUGGGGCUGUGUCUGUGCUUUGGUCAGRCUGCUUGUGAUGGCGGAAAGGUGUUCACGGGAGUUGACCGUGGGCAGUUGCGCCAGUUGUGUUGCAAUGGUUUUCUUUACCCCGUCUUGAAACACGGGACAAGGA